UUAGUGGCGGACGGGUGAGUAACGCGUGAGCAAUCUGCCUUUCAGAGGGGGAUAACACUCUGAAAAGAGUGCUAAUACCGCAUAACGUGUUUGAGUGGCAUCACUUAGACACCAAAGGAGCAAUCCGCUGAAAGAUGAGCUCGCGUCCAAUUAGGUAGUUGGUGAGGUAACGGCCCACCAAGCCGACGAUUGGUAGCCGGACUGAGAGGUUGAACGGCCACAUUGGGACUGAGAUACGGCCCAGACUCCUACGGGAGGCAGCAGUCGGGAAUAUUGCGCAAUGGAGGAAACUCUGACGCAGUGACGCCGCGUAUAGGAAGAAGGUUUUCGGAUUGUAAACUAUUGUCAUUAGGGAAGAUAAAAGACUGUACCUAAAGAGGAAGCACCGGCUAACUAUGUGCCAGCAGCCGCGGUAAUACAUAGGGUGCAAGCGUUAUCCGGAUUUAUUGGGUGUAAAGGGUGCGUAGACGGAGAAGCAAGUUAGUUGUGAAAUCCCUCGGCUUAACUGAGGAACUGCAACUAAAACUACUUCCCUUGAGUGUCGGAGAGGAAAGUGGAAUUCCUAGUGUAGCGGUGAAAUGCGUAGAGAUUAGGAGGAACACCAGUGGCGAAGGCGACUAUCUGGACAGUAACUGACGCUGAGGCGCGAAAGUGUGGGGAGCAAACAGGAUUAGAUACCCUGGUAGUCCACACCGUAAACGAUGGAUACUAGGUGUCGGGGGUAUCGAGCCCCUCGGUGCCGCAGUUAACACAAUAAGUAUCCCACCUGGGGAGUACGAUCGCAAGGUUGAAACUCAAAGGAAUUGACGGGGACCCGCACAAGCAGUGGAGUAUGUGGUUUAAUUCGAAGCAACGCGAAGAACCUUACCAGGGCUUGACAUCCGAAGAAUCCUGUAGAGAUACGGGAGUGCCUUCGGGAACUUCAAGACAGGUGGUGCAUGGUUGUCGUCAGCUCGUGUCGUGAGAUGUUGGGUUAAGUCCCGCAACGAGCGCAACCCUUGCCUUUAGUUGCCAGCAUUAAGUUGGGCACUCUAGAGGGACUGCCAGGGAUAACCUGGAGGAAGGUGGGGAUGACGUCAAAUCAUCAUGCCCCUUAUGCUUAGGGCUACACACGUGCUACAAUGGGUGGUACAGAGGGCAGCCAAGUCGUGAGGCGGAGCUAAUCCCUUAAAGCCAUUCUCAGUUCGGAUUGUAGGCUGAAACUCGCCUACAUGAAGCUGGAGUUACUAGUAAUCGCAGAUCAGAAUGCUGCGGUGAAUGCGAUCCCGGGUCUUGUACACACCGCCCGUCA
rnacentral:rRNA from 1 species